GUAGAUAUAGUUUACAUGAAAAACCUCAGACUGUGAAUCUGACAACAGGAAGCUAACCUCCCUUGUCUACC
rnacentral:tRNA from 1 species